CACGUAGGGGGCGAGCGUUGUCCGGAUUUAUUGGGCGUAAAGAGCUCGUAGGCGGCUCGGUAAGUCGGGUGUGAAAACUCUAGGCUCAACCUAGAGACGCCACCCGAUACUGCUGUGGCUAGAGUCCGGUAGGGGAGCAUGGAAUUCCUGGUGUAGCGGUGAAAUGCGCAGAUAUCAGGAGGAACACCAGUGGCGAAGGCGGUGCUCUGGGCCGGUACUGACGCUGAGGAGCGAAAGCGUGGGGAGCAAACAGG
rnacentral:rRNA from 1 species